rnacentral:rRNA from 1 species
CCUACGGGAGGCUGCAGUGAGGAAUAUUGGUCAAUGGGCGAGAGCCUGAACCAGCCAAGUCGCGUGAGGGAGUACUGCCCUAUGGGUUGUAAACCUCUUUUGUCGGGGAGCAAAAGCCGGACGUGUCCGGCUGUGAGAGUACCCGAAGAAAAAGACUCGGCUAACUCCUUGCCAGCAGCCGCGGUAAUACGGAGGAUGCGAGCGGUAUCCGGAUUUAUUGGGUUUAAAGGGUGCGCAGGCGGAUUUUUAAGUAAGAGGUAAAAUCGUGGGGCUCAACCCCAUCCAGCCGUUGAAACUGGGGAUCUAGAGUGUGCGAGAGGUAUGCGGAAUGCGUGGUGUAGCGGUGAAAUGCAUAGAUAUCACGCAGAACCCCGAUUGCGAAGGCAGCAUACCGGUGCACAACUGACGCUCAGGCACGAAAGCGUGGGUAUCGAACAGGAUUAGAUACCCCAGUAGUC